GUGGAUUUGUAUAUUUUUCCUACCGUAUAAAAUCUAGGAAGUCUUUGUCUUCCACAAAUAUUCUCGGGACGUCCCAUAUUCCUUUGCAAUUUAACGCAUCUUGUAAUUUUCAGAUCUUUGUGAAGAUUAAUAUAAGCUCAAGUGAUGGUAGCAGUUGACUGCAUUCAAGCGAGAAAAUUUCGAAGUAAUUUUUACUUGAGCUAAACUAUUCAGCAUCUGAAGAAAUUGACAGCUUCAGAUCAACUAGUGCACUUUGUCACCCAACUGGCUCAUAAUUAGUAUUAUCAUUAAGGGGAAGAAAAAUUUUUGCAGCUGUGGUCAAGGCUAUAACAAACUUUAUAUUUUUUUGGAAAACUUAAAUUAUAAUUAGUUAGAUCACAAUCAUAGAGUAUCAUCAUUGUUUAAUGAAAAAAAAUACCAAACAAGUAUGGAAAACAUAAUUAUUAAAAAAAUUGUUACAGCCCGAAGAUAUGAAAAUGUAAUUGAUGAUGUUGAUUAAUAAAUUUAGUGUUCUAAUUUGUAAUUAGGGACAAAUUAAUUAAAUUGAACUGUGAACCCAAAACUUUCCAGAAUUACUAAAACAACACUACCUCUACUAUUGGUUUUCUUGAAGCUGGUGCAGGAGACCAGAUGCUGAUAAACCAAACAUUUUAAUGUGGGAACAAAUUAGAUAAAGUAAACUAUAUAUAACAAGGUUUUUUCAGGUUCUCAAUAGAUGAACUUCCUUUGUUUUAUUUACAUGAAAUAACUGUAACAUUAGAAAUAAAACUUAUUAAUUAGUUUUGCAGGACCAGUAUUUAUUACAUUAAUUAUUAUCAGUUACUUUACAUUAAUUUAACAUUCAUAAAACAAUGUAAUUCUACAUGCCGUUUCAAAAAAAAUUAUUUUUAAUCACAACUUGACAUAAACAAAUACUUUAAUUUUAAUAUCAUUCACACCAACAAAAGGAAAGAAUUUUAAAGCAAACUACCCAUAUACAGUUCUCCUCCCUUCCCUUCUUCCCCACUGAAAAGAAAUUUUUCUCCAGAAUCUGGCUGAUGCAGCUGAAAAUUUGAAACAAAGUUUCAAAAUAAUAAAUACAUAUUACAACACCCAAAUUAGAUGCACAUUUGAAUAGUUCAUUAAACGUGGCACUUUCAUAACGUAACAUUUUCAGUAAUCUAUACUUAAGCAUUUAAUAAUUAAUUAUAAUUUAGGAUAGAUAUCCAACAUCAUAAAGCAAAACCAUAAUACUCAAUAUUUUAAGUAAUUAAUAAUUUAUUGUAGAGCAUAUGAAGUGUUUGGUAAAGGUGACAAGAUUACCCAAUGUAUGGCUGCAUUCCUUUUCUACCACCUUAAAAUGUUUGCUACAUAAUUGUUAGUGGCAAGAGACUUCAGCACAGUUACCAAGGGUAGAGCAUGAGUGGCAUAGGCCUACCUAAAAUUUUAUUUCGGGAGGGAUCCGUCCAAUUAUUUAAGAAAAAUUCCAUACCUAUACAGAAAAAAUGAAUUU